GUUUUCUUCUUUUUUUUCGCCGUCUCUCUCUUCUUUCUCUCUCUCUCGCGAUUUCAACGAUGAAAUCGAAACGAAGGCGAUUCCGUUAAAUCGACCCAAAAUCGGAGAAAUCGGCUCUGUUUUUACCUCUGGCCGUCGUUGCCGCGUGACCUCAUCAUCCCCAGCGACGGUGGUUGUCGAGGGCUCUCUCUUUUCACAAAUUCGGCAAAAUUUUGAUCUCUCUCUUUGCCGACUGCGAAAACAGAUGAUUAAUUUUGAUCUGUGUCUGAGAAAUUUCCGAUCUUGGCUUGACUAAGAUUAAGCAUCUGAUGAAAUUCUUGUUUUUUUUCAUCGGAGAAAAGCAAAACGGCGGCGAAGAUGGAUGUGGCUCGGAUAAAGCUUCUAAGGAACAAGAGAUUAGUUGUGGUGAAGCAAAUGAGGCGUGACAUCGCUGUUCUUCUUCAAUCCGGUCAAGAUGCCACCGCUCGUAUCAGAGUAUCACUUUCCUUCUUCACUUUCUAAGAGUUUUUUCCCCUGCAAUUUCCAAUUCAAUGAAGAUUUUGCUUUACCGAAGUGAACCGGAGCGACUAUGACAAUGUGAUCGGAGCUCUACCAUACUUGAAAGUCAAUCGAAAGGCGACUUAAGCAGAGUAGGCUUGAUCCUUUUCUUACCUGCAAUUCUCAUUUUGUAAUCUAAAGUUGUGGUAAUAUCCUUUUGUAUUGUGAUAUAAUUUGGUCAAUGAGUUGAUUUUGUUUCAUA